GACAGAGGGGGCAAGCGUUGUCCGGACUAACUGGGCGUAAAGCGCGCGCAGGCGGUCAGAGGCGUCGGUGCUGAAAGUGCGCCGCUUAACGGCGCGAUGCGUGCCGAUACGCUCUGACUUGAGGACGGGCGAGGGUGGUGGAAUUGCCGGUGUAGUGGUGAAAUGCGUAGAGAUCGGCAGGAACACCAGUGGGGAAGCCGGCCACCUAGCCCGCCCCUGACGCUGAAGCGCGACAGCGUGGGGAGCGAACUGG
rnacentral:rRNA from 1 species